rnacentral:rRNA from 1 species
AUUGAACGCUGGCGGCAGGCCUAACACAUGCAAGUCGAGCGGAUGAAGGGAGCUUGCUCCUGGAUUCAGCGUCGGACGGGUGAGUAAUGCCUAUGAAUCUGCCUCGUAUUGGUGUAUAACGUCCUGAAACGGGUGCUAAUACCGCAUACUUCCUGAGGGAGCAACUUGGUGAUCUUCGGACCUCACGCUCUCAGAUGAGCCUAGGUCGGAUUAGCUAGUUGGUGGGGUAAAGGCCUACCAAGGCGACGAUCCGUAACUGGUCUGAGAGAAUGAUAAGUCACACGAGAGCGGAGACACGGACAAGACGACUGAGGGAGGCAGCAGUGGGGAAUAUUGGACAAUGGGCGAAAGCAUGAUACAGCCAGGCCGAGUGUGUGAAGAAGGUCUUCGGAGUGUAAAGAACUUUAAGGUGGGAGGAAGGGCAGUAAGUUAAGACCUUGCUGGAGUGACGUUAACAACAGAAUAAGCACCGGCUAACUUCGUG